rnacentral:misc_RNA from 1 species
AAGUCGUAACAAGGUCUCCGUUGGUGAACCAGCGGAGGGAUCAUUACUGAGUUUUCUAAACUCCCAAACCCAUGUGAACUUACCUUAGUUGCUUCGGCGGUCAGUGCCGCCCUGGGAUGACUUACCCUGUAGCGUCUCGCGACCUACCCUGUAACGUCUUACCCUGGGCGUCUCCCGUCAAAGGACCUUAUAAACUCUGUAUUAUUGUGGCACCUCUGAGGAUGAUUUUUUGAAUCAGUUAAAACUUUCAACAACGGAUCUCUUGGUUCUG